CCCGGUGGAGCCGGUGCCGUCGUCGACGGCGGCGGUGGUUCCGGUAACUCUCUCUCGAGUCACAGCAGCCGCGGGUCCAAAAAUUUCUCCGUUUUGGUGACGUUUCAGGUUUGAUGAGUGGCGGUGUCGGCGUUGAUGUCGUCGUUUACGACAGCGGAGGGGUGGAUGUUCGAAAGGGUGAAGUUGAUGGUGAUGGUUGAAGCCAAAAAGGCGACGACAGUUGUCGUCCGGCAACAAUGACGGCGGUUCGGGAGCCGGAUGUUUGUUUCGGAUCUAGGAUAUUCUUGGUUCGAGUUUGUCUCAUCUCGGGUCAGAUUGGUUACGGGCGAGUCUUGGUUCGGCUCGGGUCACUGUGCGGUUUGGGUUCAGUAAAAUAAGGUCAA